UAAGGAAUAUUGGACAAUGGCCGCAAGGCUGAUCCAGCCAUCCAGCGUGCAGGAAGAAGGCCCUAUGGGUUGUAAACUGCUUUUAUCAGGGAAGAAACCUGUGGAUUUACUCCGCAGCUGACGGUACCUGAAGAAUAAGCACCGGCUAACUCCGUGCCAGCAGCCGCGGUAAUACGGAGGGUGCGAGCGUUAUCCGGAAUUACUGGGUUUAAAGGGUGCGUAGGCGGCUAUGUAAGUCAGGAGUGAAAGUUUGCGGCUCAACCGUAAAAUUGCUUUUGAUACUGCAUGGCUGGAAUUAGGAUGAGGUCAGCGGAAUGUGGCAUGUAGCGGUGAAAUGCAUAGAUAUGCCAUAGAACACCAAUUGCGAAGGCAGCUGGCUAGACCUGGAUUGACGCUGAGGCACGAAAGCGUGGGGAGCGAACAGGAUUAGAUACCCUGGUAGUCCACGCCCUAAACGAUG
rnacentral:rRNA from 1 species